rnacentral:rRNA from 1 species
AGCAGCCGCGGUAAUUCCAGCUCCAAUAGCGUAUAUUAAAGUUGUUGCAGUUAAAAAGCUCGUAGUUGAAUUUCGGGAUUCGUCCAUUGGUCAGGCUUAACUGUCUGUACUGGUGUGUCGGAUUUCUACCUUCUGAAGAACCUUCAUGCCAUUAAUUUGGUGUGUUGGGGAAUCAGGACUGUUACUUUGAAAAAAUUAGAGUGUUUAAAGCAGGCUAACGUCUGAAUACAUUAGCAUGGAAUAAUGAAAUAGGACGGUACGGUUCUAUUUUGUUGGUCUCUAGGAUCGCCGUAAUGAUUAAUAGGGAUAGUUGGGGGCAUUAGUAUUCAAUUGUCAGAGGUGAAAUUCUUGGAUUUAUUGAAGACUAACUACUGCGAAAGCAUUUGCCAAGGAUGUUUUCAUUAAUCAAGAACGAAAGUUAGGGGAUCGAAGACGAUCAGAUACCGUCGUAGUCUUAACCAUAAACUAUGCCGACUAGGGAUUGGACGAUGUUAAUUUUUAAUGUACUCGUUCAGCACCU